GUGUUCACUUCGGCAGCACAUAUACUAAAAUUGGGACUCUACAGAGAAGAUUAGCAUGGCCCCUGUGUAAAGUAUUAAAAUAAUGAAUGAAACAAAAAAUUA